AUCAGCAGAAGUUUUUUGUUUACUCGAACCACCAGGAUGUUCCAGACCAGAUGGGAAGAAACCUGAUGGCCUCAGUCUCUUACCUUGGACCAAAGGAAAAUCACUGUUAUGGGACUAUACUUGUGCUGAUACUUUUGCAUCAUCGUAUAUAAAUCGAACUUCAAAAGAAUUAGGUUGGGCUGCAAAACACGCGGAAGAAAAGAAAGACGUCCGGUGUUUUUGGCAAAGAAGCAAUUAAACUAAUAAAAGCAAUUGGAAGUAAGAUCGCUGAAGUUACUCAUGAGAAAAGAGCGACGAGUUUUAUGUUCCAGCGGUUAGCACUCUCAAUUCAGCGUGGAAAUGUUGCAUCGAUUCUUGGUACAAUUCCACCUUCCAAGAACUUGGCAGAAUUAUUUUUUUUAUAAAUACUGUAAAAUGCUGUUAAAUAUAUUCAGGAAUCUAUUG